rnacentral:rRNA from 1 species
GACGAACCGUGCGAACGUUGUUCGGAAUCACUGGGCUUAAAGGGCGCGUAGGCGGAUAUCCAAGUCAGACGUGAAAUCCCUCGGCUUAACCGGGGAACUGCGUCUGAUACUGGAUGGCUUGAGGUUGGGAGAGGGAUGCGGAAUUCCAGGUGUAGCGGUGAAAUGCGUAGAUAUCUGGAGGAACACCGGUGGCGAAGGCGGCAUCCUGGACCAAUUCUGACGCUGAGGAGCGAAAGCCAGGGGAGCAAACGGG